rnacentral:rRNA from 1 species
GAUGAACGCUGGCGGCGUGCCUAAUACAUGCAAGUCGAGCGAACAGACGAGGAUCUUGCUCCUCUGACGUUAGCGGCGGACGGGUGAGUAACACGUGGAUAACCUACCUAUAAGACUGGGAUAACUUCGGGAAACCGGAGCUAAUACCGGAUAAUAUAUUGAACCGCAUGGUUCAAUAGUGAAAGACGGUUUUGCUGUCAAUUAUAGAUGGAUCCGCGCCGCAUUAGCUAGUUGGUAAGGUAACGGCUUACCAAGGCAACGAUGCGUAGCCGACCUGAGAGGGUGAUCGGCCACACUGGAACUGAGACACGGUCCAGGCUCCUACGGGAGGCAGCCGUAGGGAAUCUUCCGCAAUGGGCGAAAGCCUGACGGAGCAACGCCGCGUGAGUGAUGAAGGUCUUCGGAUCGUAAAACUCUGUUAUUAGGGAAGAACAAAUGUGUAAGUAACUAUGCACGUCUUGACGGUACCUACUCAGAAAGCCACGGCUAACUACGUG